rnacentral:tRNA from 1 species
GCGCGCUUAGCUCAGUUGGUAGAGCAACUCGUUUACACCGAGAAGGUCGGGGGUUCAAGUCCCUCAGCGCGCA